rnacentral:lncRNA from 1 species
UACUUCAACCAAAAUAUGUAAAUGAAGAAAUACUGUAUUUAAACAUUUGCACAUUUACCUCUACCUGAAACAUGUGAAUGUCAACACUUCAUACUUCAUGGAUAGUAGUCCUUCAUAAAAACAAAUAUUGUUAAUCAAGUUUUAAAGUUACUUUAUUUUUCUUUGAAUGUUUAAUGAUUUAAUAGCUACUGUUUUAUGUCAUUUUGUCCUCGUAUCCUGCUUUUACUAAAGCAACUUAACUAAUAAGUUGCUUAAUUCCACAACAAACUGUUAUUAUUUUCUUCAGGAAGUUGUAUGAUACAUAUUUUUUCCCCAAAUGGAAGGAUGUAGUUUCUAGACAUUAAGUUAGUUAUACAAAUGCUUACCUGUUAGUUUUGCUACUUAUACUUUAAAAUGAAAGCCUUUAAAUUUUAGAAAACGAAUUUAAGAUUCUACUUUAAUGCAUUAGACUAGUUUUUAAUUAAAGUAGUGAGCACUUAUCUAGUGGUGAAGUUAAAUUAAAUAGAAUUGAUUUCAUGGUUGAACCAGAAGUCUUCUGUUGAGUAAGCAGUAAGUAUUCUUUCUUAUAAAAUUUUUAUAGCUAUAAAUUGUUUAUUUUUGGAGCUAGAAACUAAACCAUCUGCCUCAUUUCUUCUUUUAAUGAAAU